GAGACGUGCGUGAGAGGUGCGGAGGUAGUGCGGAGGGGGGAAGCGUGGAUCGGAGUUAUUGGGCGUACAGCGCGGGUAGGGGGUCUGACAGGUGAGAUGUGAAAACUUGGGGCUCAACCUCGAGACGUCGGUUGAAACCGUACGGCUAGAGUCCGGAAGAGGAGAGUGGAAUUCCCGGUGUAGCGGUGAAAUGCGCAGAUAUCGGGAAGAACACCCGUGGCGAAGGCGGCUCCCUGGGACGGUACUGACGUUGAGACGCGAAAGCGUGGGGAGCGAACAGGAUUAGAUACCCUGGUAGUC
rnacentral:rRNA from 1 species